rnacentral:snoRNA from 1 species
UGGAUGUGAUGAACUGUCUUAGCCUGAGCUUAUAGUGUGAAGAUAAAAAAAAAAUGGUUUAAUGUAUUC